GGAGGGAUCAUUACUGAGUUUACGCUCUACAACCCUUUGUGAACAUACCUAUAACUGUUGCUUCGGCGGGUAGGGUCUCCGCGACCCUCCCGGCCUCCCGCCUCCGGGCGGGUCGGCGCCCGCCGGAGGAUAACCAAACUCUGAUUUAACGACGUUUCUUCUGAGUGGUACAAGCAAAUAAUCAAAACUUUUAACAACGGAUCUCUUGGUUCUGGCAUCGAUGAAGAACGCAGCGAAAUGCGAUAAGUAAUGUGAAUUGCAGAAUUCAGUGAAUCAUCGAAUCUUUGAACGCACAUUGCGCCCGCCAGCAUUCUGGCGGGCAUGCCUGUUCGAGCGUCAUUUCAACCCUCAAGCUCUGCUUGGUGUUGGGGCCCUACAGCUGAUGUAGGCCCUCAAAGGUAGUGGCGGACCCUCUCGGAGCCUCCUUUGCGUAGUAACUUUACGUCUCGCACUGGGAUCCGGAGGGACUCUUGCCGUAAAACCCCCAAUUUUCCAAAGGUUGACCUCGGAUCAGGUAGGAAUACCCGCUGAACUUAAGCAUAUC
rnacentral:rRNA from 1 species